rnacentral:lncRNA from 7 species
CUCUCAUCUCCCUGCCAAGACCUCAAAUAAAAUCGUUUCCUCCUGAAAAUGCCCAUCUCGGAACCUUGGCUGUGCCCCGAGGGAGGCACCGGAAUGGCAAAAGUGAGGACAUACGGCUGCCAGCAUCGUCUAUGCUCUAGAUAGGGGUCAAAUGUCAACUUUCUGCCAGGUCCAGCCCGGAUGUGAGGGCUGUGAAGGCAACAACCAAGGAACCAUUCCUUCGGAUGGAAGUCCUAUGGCAGAGAGAAGCUGAUGUUUGAAUUUUCCUGUAGAGCCCUUGAGGUUCCAUGAAUCAGUCUGGGAAGGAUGCAGGUUAAGUGGGAAGCAGAAGCCCUCAAUCACGUGAUGACGGAAAAGCCGAAAAGGCUGGGUUAUACCCUUAGGAAACCUAUUUGUUUCUUGGCUCCCUGCAGGGGCAUGCACACUAGCAAAGGCUCAAUCCCUUCAUUAUUCAUUUGAUCACAAAAGAAGGAAUGAGAGGAAAAAUACUUUUAUUUUUCACCAAGCAAUCACCAAGCGCAGUCUCAACGAAGAGCCCCUCCUUCUUUCAUGUCUUCUUUUGUGUGUGACUUACUCAGUCUAAGUUUCAUCCACAGGUAAAGGAACCCAAGCUGGGCCCAAUGCCAAGUGCACUUCUUCAAUGUUACAUUCUGGGACAGGAGAGAGGAUCACUGGUUGAGCCUACCUACUCUGUGGACACAUUGUAAUCCUGAAACUGUUCUGAGCUUCCAUUCAUGGCCAGGACACCUGAUCACUUCAUCGUUGGGUUCUGUGUUUGAAAACUGGGCCAGCUCUGAACCUGGGUGACAGAACACACUGUGGAGAAACCUUGUCUCUAGGAUCUUGCUCAUACACUCUUGGCUCCUCUUGCUCUGGUGGAGCUCCUCAGUGCCCACUGGGAAAGUGAUCUGGCUCCCAAGACCACCAGCCUGUUCAAGUCAUGGAUGGCACCAGUUUUCACAGGCUGAGUGAUUAGAAAACAGACUCUGGGACAGCUGUGUACAUAAGAGUCAUCUGGGCAUUGCUCUUACAAUCCCUGUAGAAGACAAGAGCUCAGAUUGACCCACCCGAAGUCCCUGGGAUUCACUUCUUCACCCUUCACACCUCGGCUUGCAGAAACAAGAUGCCACGUUUGACUUUAUGUGGUUGCUGGGAACAUGAAUUUGGGUCCUAGGGUUUACAAGUCAAGCACUUUACCCAUUGACCAUCUCCCUAGCCGUGUGACUGGCUUCUUUACCUUCAUGAUAACUACUCAUCAGCUAUAUUUUAAUCUGGCAAGGGGACUUGAAUUUGAAUGAGAUGACUCUAGUUAAAUAGUUUUGAUGAGGAGUGACAACUGAAGGCUCUUCGGGGCUAAAGGGAUACUUAGGUGUUGUGUUCCAUCCCCACCCCUGUUGACUAUAUAGGGCGAUACAAUGACUAACACAGGCUGGACACUUUAGAAGACAAACUUCAGACAAUUCCCCACCAAAAGGAUGUAUACCCUGGUUAUGGGUUUUUGGUUUGGGAGACUAUGUAUGCUAAGAUGAAUGUAGCUUGAUGAGUUGGGAAGACACUACAUAUGAGAUGAGCCAUGGUAAAGACUGCAUAAAGACAGGGGCAGACUUGGAUCUUUCCUUUCUCGGUUGCUAAAUGACUGAAAAAGCCUUUUAACCCCAUAGACCUUCUGCUCAUCUAAACAGAGUGGAGGUUGGCACUAUCUAAGACAUAUAAAGAACCGUCAAAACUCAGUGAUUAAAAUAUUAGACUAGGAAACUUAGAAAAGACAGAUCUGCCACUAAAGAGGCUAUAAAGAUGACAAAGUAGUAUAUGAAAAGAGGAUCAACAGCAUAAGCCAUCAUAGAAACACUCAGUAAACAUACAGUAUGAUACACUAAGGAGUUGAGGGGUCACUCAGUGGUUAGGGGCACAGAGGACUCUGCCAGAGGACUUGAGUUCACUUCCCAUCUCAUGUGGUUCGCAAUUGCCUAUAACUCCAGCUCCAAGGGUGAGGAUGGUCUUCCACACACACAUGCACACACACACACACACACACACACACACACACACACACACACACAUACACACAUACAUGCACAAAUGCGCAUGCUCACACACAAACACAUACUCACAUAUAUAAAUAAAAUAGAGAUCCUACCCUACUAUCAGAAUGGUUCAAAAAAUUUAAGGACAUCAACAAACACUGGCAAGGAUGUCAGACUCAUACGCAGCUACUGAGAAUGUAAAAUGGGACAAUCAGUCUAAAAACUGCAUUGAUGUCUCUAGGAAAUCAAACAUAUGCCUGCCAUAUGACCCAGAAAACAUUUUCCUAAGGCAUUUAUCCAAGAGAAGUGAAAGUGCACAAAAUCUACAUAUGCAUUUUCAUAUAUGUUGAUUUUCAAUAACUAGAAAUAACCCAAGCAUCUCACAACAAGCGAGCAAUUAGACAAACUACCAAGUCCACAUUCAGAAAUACUACUCACCAAUAGCAAUGAGAACAGUGUCGGUCUACACAACAACUCAGGUGGAUAUCAAGAGAAUCAUGCUGGGGAGGGAAAUUUCAGACUUCCGUAUGGUGUUUGAUAAAAUUUAUGCAACAUUCUUAAAAUUAAUCAAAGUAUAAAUCUGGAGACAUAUUAUUGCUGGUCACAGGUCGGGAGAAGGGACAGGUGGCAGUUGGUUCUAAAAGGUAUCACAAGAGGCCACUGAUGGGACGAGUCUAAGUUUGACUAUGGUGGUUUUCUUUUUCUCGGUUUUCUUUUUCUAUGAUAAACACCAUUACCAAACGCAAUUUGGAGAGGAAAGGGUUUGUUUCAUCUGACAGGAGACAGAUUGAAAGCAGGACCUUAAAGCAGAAACCACAGAGGGAUGCCCUUUAGUGGUUUGCUCCGUGUUCAGCUAGCUUUCUUAGACAACCUAAGCGACCUGCCUAGGGAAGAUGCUCCCCGUAGUAAACUGGACAGAGAAGGUACCACACACAUCCCCAUAGGCAACCUGAUGGAGGCCAUCCCUUAACCGGCAGGUUCUUUCUUCCCAAGUGUAUCUCAUAGAGAGGCACACGAGUCUCUCCACAUAACAAAGUUACAGACAGAGUGGCACCGGCCUAAAAUCUCAACUACGCAGGUGACAGAGGCAGAAGGAUUGCAAGUUUCAGGUAUGCCUGUGUUACAGAUUGGGAUCAACGCUACCUUGGGCAACUUAAGUCAGAUGGAACCAGAAGGCUGGGGAUACAUCUCAGCGGUAGAGCACUGGCUUAGCCUGUGUAGGUCAGUUUCUAGUAUGGCAAGCAAUCAAUGAAUAGCUGAAAAUAUGCAUGUCUAAGCACAGGGCAAAACUAUGAAACCUGGAUAUGACUAGUAUAGUCUGUCAAUUUUCUGGUUGUGAAGUGGUGUUGUGGUUAUGCAAUCUGUUGCCAACUAAUAAAAACUGGUAUGCAU